GACGUAGGAGGCGAGCGUUGUCCGGAUUCAUUGGGCGUAAAGAGCUCGUAGGCGGUCUGUCGCGUCGGAUGUGAAAAUCCAGGGCUCAACCCUGGACCUGCAUUCGAUACGGGCAGACUAGAGUUCGGUAGGGGAGACUGGAAUUCCUGGUGUAGCGGUGAAAUGCGCAGAUAUCAGGAGGAACACCGGUGGCGAAGGCGGGUCUCUGGGCCGAAACUGACGCUGAGGAGCGAAAGCGUGGGGAGCAAACAGG
rnacentral:rRNA from 1 species